AGCAGCCGCGGUAAUUCCAGCUCCAAUAGCGUAUAUUAAAGUUGUUGCAGUUAAAAAGCUCGUAGUUGAAUUUCGGGGUCAGUAGGCUGGUCGUGCCACAGGUACGUACUGGUCUCACUGAUUCCUCCUUCCUGAUGAACCGUAAUGCCAUUAAUUUGGUGUUGCGGGGAAACUGGACUGUUACUUUGAAAAAUUGGAGUGUUUAAAGCAGGCUAACGCUUGAAUACAUUAGCAUGGAAUAAUGAAAUAGGACGUUCGAUCCUAUUUUGUUGGUUUCUAGGAUUGACGUAAUGAUUAAUAGGGAUAGUUGGGGGCAUUAGUAUUCAAUUGUCAGAGGUGAAAUUCUUGGAUUUGUUGAAGACUAACUACUGCGAAAGCAUUUGCCAAGGAUGUUUUCAUUAAUCAAGAACGAAAGUUAGGGGAUCGAAGACGAUCAGAUACCGUCGUAGUCUUAACCAUAAACUAUGCCGACUAGGGAUCGGAUGAUGUAAUUUUUAAUGACUCA
rnacentral:rRNA from 1 species